CAAGUCGAGGGGCAGCAUAAUGGUAGCAAUACUAUUGAUGGCGACCGGCGGACGGGUGCGUAACGCGUAUGCAACCUUCCCGCAACUGGGGAAUAACCUUGCGAAAGUAAGACUAAUACCCCAUGGUCUCCACGGAUGGCAUCUGAAAUGGAGUAAAGGUUUCGGCCGGUUGCGGAUGGGGAUGCGUCCGAUUAGCUUGUUGGCGGGGUAACGGCCCACCAAGGCAACGAUCAGUAGGGGUUCUGAGAGGAAGGUCCCCACAUUGGAACUGAGACACGGUCCAAACUCC
rnacentral:rRNA from 1 species